AAAAUUGUAACCAUGGACGCUGACUCCUGUGCUGCAUUCCCUUGCACUCAAAUCAUAAGACCUCCCCUUUGCGGUUUUCAGCCUUAAAAACCCUUGUCUCUCCCCUCCUGGGCGCGCACCUCAGCAUCUUGUGG